CUCAGGAUGAACGCUAGCUACAGGCUUAACACAUGCAAGUCGAGGGGCAGCAUGGUCUUAGCUUGCUAAGACUGAUGGCGACCGGCGCACGGGUGAGUAACACGUAUCCAACCUGCCGUCUACUCUUGGACAGCCUUCUGAAAGGAAGAUUAAUACAAGAUGGCAUCAUGAGUCCGCAUGUUCACAUGAUUAAAGGUAUUCCGGUAGACGAUGGGGAUGCGUUCCAUUAGAUAGUAGGCGGGGUAACGGCCCACCUAGUCUUCGAUGGAUAGGGGUUCUGAGAGGAAGGUCCCCCACAUUGGAACUGAGACACGGUCCAAACUCCUACGGGAGGCAGCAGUGAGGAAUAUUGGUCAAUGGGCGAGAGCCUGAACCAGCCAAGUAGCGUGAAGGAUGACUGCCCUAUGGGUUGUAAACUUCUUUUAUAAAGGAAUAAAGUCGGGUAUGCAUACCCGUUUGCAUGUACUUUAUGAAUAAGGAUCGGCUAACUCCGUGCCAGCAGCCGCGGUAAUACGGAGGAUCCGAGCGUUAUCCGGAUUUAUUGGGUUUAAAGGGAGCGUAGAUGGAUGUUUAAGUCAGUUGUGAAAGUUUGCGGCUCAACCGUAAAAUUGCAGUUGAUACUGGAUAUCUUGAGUGCAGUUGAGGCAGGCGGAAUUCGUGGUGUAGCGGUGAAAUGCUUAGAUAUCACGAAGAACUCCGAUUGCGAAGGCAGCCUGCUAAGCUGCAACUGACAUUGAGGCUCGAAAGUGUGGGUAUCAAACAGGAUUAGAUACCCUGGUAGUCCACACGGUAAACGAUGAAUACUCGCUGUUUGCGAUAUACUGCAAGCGGCCAAGCGAAAGCGUUAAGUAUUCCACCUGGGGAGUACGCCGGCAACGGUGAAACUCAAAGGAAUUGACGGGGGCCCGCACAAGCGGAGGAACAUGUGGUUUAAUUCGAUGAUACGCGAGGAACCUUACCCGGGCUUAAAUUGCAGAUGAAUUACGGUGAAAGCCGUAAGCCGCAAGGCAUCUGUGAAGGUGCUGCAUGGUUGUCGUCAGCUCGUGCCGUGAGGUGUCGGCUUAAGUGCCAUAACGAGCGCAACCCUUGUUGUCAGUUACUAACAGGUUCCGCUGAGGACUCUGACAAGACUGCCAUCGUAAGAUGUGAGGAAGGUGGGGAUGACGUCAAAUCAGCACGGCCCUUACGUCCGGGGCUACACACGUGUUACAAUGGGGGGUACAGAGGGCCGCUACCACGCGAGUGGAUGCCAAUCCCCAAAACCUCUCUCAGUUCGGACUGGAGUCUGCAACCCGACUCCACGAAGCUGGAUUCGCUAGUAAUCGCGCAUCAGCCACGGCGCGGUGAAUACGUUCCCGGGCCUUGUACACACCGCCCGUCAAGCCAUGGGAGCCGGGGGUACCUGAAGUGCGUAACCGCGAGGAG
rnacentral:rRNA from 1 species